UUUAUAUAAUAUAAAAAUUAUUCCUGACUUCCAAUCAGGCUAUCUAGAAAUAGUAUAAAUU
rnacentral:tRNA from 1 species